rnacentral:misc_RNA from 1 species
UCCGGCUUGACGCCGGCAGUCUCGCUAGAGUACCCGCCAUGACGCGCUGGCAACUAGCGACAGGGGUUUCGCUCGUUAAGGGACUUAACCCGACACUUCACAGCACGAGCUGACGACAGCCAUGCAACACCUGUGCAAGCAUCACCCCGAAGGGCACCUCUCUGAGUUAUCCCCGAAGAGGACUCUUGCAUGUCAAACCCGGGUCAGGUUCUUCGCGUUGCUUCGAAUUAAGCCACAUGCUCCACCGCUUGUGUGAGCCCCCGUCAAUUCCUUUGAGUUUUAGCCUUGCGGCCGUACUCCCCAGGCGGCACACUUAUCGUUUUUACUCCGACGCGAGCUCCGUCAGAGGCCCUCGCGUCUAGUGUGCAUCGUUUACGGCGUGGACUAC